GACGAACGCUGGCGGCGUGCUUAACACAUGCAAGUCGAACGGAAAGGCCCUGCUUUUGUGGGGUGCUCGAGUGGCGAACGGGUGAGUAACACGUGAGUAACCUGCCCUUGACUUUGGGAUAACUUCAGGAAACUGGGGCUAAUACCGGAUAGGAGCUCCUGCUGCAUGGUGGGGGUUGGAAAGUUUCGGCGGGUGGGGAUGGACUCGCGGCUUAUCAGCUUGUUGGUGGGGUAGUGGCUUACCAAGGCUUUGACGGGUAGCCGGCCUGAGAGGGUGACCGGCCACAUUGGGACUGAGAUACGGCCCAGACUCCUACGGGAGGCAGCAGUGGGGAAUAUUGCACAAUGGGCGGAAGCCUGAUGCAGCAACGCCGCGUGCGGGAUGACGGCCUUCGGGUUGUAAACCGCUUUCGCCUGUGACGAAGCGUGAGUGACGGUAAUGGGUAAAGAAGCACCGGCUAACUACGUG
rnacentral:rRNA from 1 species